rnacentral:rRNA from 1 species
GUGCCAGCAGCCGCGGUAAUACGUAGGGUGCAAGCGUUAAUCGGAAUUACUGGGCGUAAAGCGUGCGCAGGCGGUUAUGCAAGACAGAUGUGAAAUCCCCGGGCUUAACCUGGGAACUGCAUUUGUGACUGCAUAGCUGGAGUACGGUAGAGGGGGAUGGAAUUCCGCGUGUAGCAGUGAAAUGCGUAGAUAUGCGGAGGAACACCGAUGGCGAAGGCAGUCCCCUGGACCUGUACUGACGCUCAUGCACGAAAGCGUGGGGAGCAAACAGGAUUAGAUACCCCUGUAGUCC